UACGUAGGGUGCAAGCGUUGUCCGGAAUUAUUGGGCGUAAAGAGCUCGUAGGCGGUCUGUCGCGUCUGCUGUGAAAACUCGGGGCUUAACCCCGGGCCUGCAGUGGGUACGGGCAGACUAGAGUGCGGUAGGGGAGACUGGAAUUCCUGGUGUAGCGGUGAAAUGCGCAGAUAUCAGGAGGAACACCGGUGGCGAAGGCGGCUCACUGGCCCGGUACUGACGCUGAGGUGCGAAAGCGUGGGGAGCAAACAGG
rnacentral:rRNA from 1 species